GAUGAACGCUGGCGGCGUGCCUAAUACAUGCAAGUCGAGCGAACGGACGAGAAGCUUGCUUUUCUGAUGUUAGCGGCGGACGGGUGAGUAACACGUGGAUAACCUACCUAUAAGACUGGGAUAACUUCGUGAAACCGGAGCUAAUACCGGAUAAUAUUUUGAACCGCAUGGUUCAAAAGUGAAUGACGGUCUUGCUGUCACUUAUAGAUGGAUCCGCGCUGCAUUAGCUAGUUGGUAAGGUAACGGCUUACCAAGGCAACGAUGCAUAGCCGACCUGAGAGGGUGAUCGGCCACACUGGAACUGAGACACGGUCCAGACUCCUACGGGAGGCAGCAGUAGGGAAUCUUCCACAAUGGGCGAAAGCCUGACGGAGCAACGCCGCGUGAGUGAUGAAGGUCUUCGGAUCGUAAAACUCUGUUAUUGGGGAAGAACAUAUGUGUAAGUAACUGUGCACAUCUUGACGGUACCUAAUCAGAAAGCCACGGCUAACUACGUG
rnacentral:rRNA from 1 species